GGUUAUAGGUUGGUGCAUAAGGUUCAUUCAUGUAUCUUUCAUUAAAUGCACUUUCCUGUGUGAACCCGUUUUGAGUUGGACUCAUCAAGUAAGAACACUCCUUCACAACAUGAUCUGGUGCAUUGCAUGUAGUGCACUUGGGUGCUAGCACAUAGUUAAAUUGGAUAUGUCUUUCGAAUUCCAAGGCUUCAAUUCUAUUGGUCAAAGUUUCAAUUC
rnacentral:lncRNA from 1 species